GACGAACGCUGGCGGCGUGCCUAAUACAUGCAAGUCGAGCGAAGUUUUUCUGGUGCUUGCACCGGAAAAACUUAGCGGCGCACGGGUGAGUAACACGUAAAGAACCUGCCUUAUAGACUGGGACAACUAUUGGAAACGAUAGCUAAUACCGGAUAACAGCAUUAACUGCAUGGUUGAUGUUUGAAAGUUGGUUUUGCUAACACUAUGAGAUGGCUUUGCGGUGCAUUAGCUAGUUGGUGGGGUAAAGGCCUACCAAGGCGACGAUGCAUAGCCGACCUGAGAGGGUGAUCGGCCACACUGGGACUGAGACACGGCCCAGACUCCUACGGGAGGCAGCAGUAGGGAAUCUUCCGCAAUGGGCGAAAGGCUGACGGAGCAACGCCGCGUGAGUGAAGAAGGAUUUCGGUUCGUAAAGCUCUGUUGUUAGGGAAGAAUGAUUGUGUAGUAACUAUACACAGUAGAGACGGUACCUAACCAGAAAGCCACGGCUAACUACGUG
rnacentral:rRNA from 1 species